rnacentral:tRNA from 1 species
GUAGCUCAGUGGCAGAGCUCCUGCUUUUGAAGAAGGUUGCAGAUUCAAUUCCUGCAUCUCCA